CAGAAAACUAAGGGGUGCUAGCCUGUGUGGGCUUGCUGAGAUUAUACCCAUGAACCUGAUGCGGGUAAUGCCGUCGUAGGAACAUUCCCCCUUUAUUUA
rnacentral:ncRNA from 1 species